rnacentral:misc_RNA from 1 species
UCCUUUCUAGAGAAAGAUAAAUUAAGGCUAAUUCCAUUAACUCUUCUCUACUCUUUUCUUUUGAUAAAAGAGUUUUUAAAAUCAAUGUUAUUUCUAUAAGUUUAAGAGAAGCUUAUGUAUUGAGUGUUUUAUUUUUGAUAUUAAGAGAUUUUAUUAAACUUAGACUUAAGUUUAGAUCAUUUUGGGGGUUUAGCUCAGUUGGCUAGAGCAUCGGCUUUGCAAGCCGAGGGUCAAGGGUUCGAAUCCCUUAACCUCCAUUAGGUUUGUGCCUUAAAUUGUGAUUAAGUAUGUUUUCAGUUAGCUUUGUUAAAAUAAUUAUUGGAAUGUGAAGCAGAGGAAGUUAAAAUUUCUGGGUUAAAGUUGGGGCCUGUUGAUAUUAACAAGAAUGUCUAGAGGUGAAAGUAAGUUACCCUAUAAGAGCCAAAUUAGUUUUACUAAGGGAUAAGGGGUAAACAGGAUUAUAUUUUAUGGCAGCCUAUUUUAU